GAUGAACGCUAGCUACAGGCUUAACACAUGCAAGUCGAGGGGUCUGCUUCGGCAGACGACCGGCGCACGGGUGAGUAACGCGUAUCCAACCUUCCCGUUACUCAGGGAUAGCCUUCCGAAAGGGAGAUUAAUACCUGAUGGUGUUCAAAUUCCGCAUGUUAUUUGAACUAAAGAUUUAUCGGUAACGGAUGGGGAUGCGUGACAUUAGGUAGAUGGCGGGGUAACGGCCCACCAUGCCUACGAUGUCUAGGGGUUCUGAGAGGAAGGUCCCCCACACUGGAACUGAGACACGGUCCAGACUCCUACGGGAGGCAGCAGUGAGGAAUAUUGGUCAAUGGGCGAGAGCCUGAACCAGCCAAGUAGCGUGAAGGAAGACUGCCCUAUGGGUUGUAAACUUCUUUUGUAAGGGAGCAAUAAGUCUUACGUGUAGGAUGAUGAGAGUACCUUACGAAUAAGCAUCGGCUAACUCCGUG
rnacentral:rRNA from 1 species